UCCCGCAGGGAUCAGUAGAGUGGCAAACGGGUGAGUAACGCGUGGGUGACCUGCCUUCGAGUGGGGGAUAACGUUCCGAAAGAAGCGCUAAUACCGCAUGACAUCCUGUUCUUGAACGGAUGGAGAUCAAAGCCGGGGACCGCAAGGCCUGGCGCUCGAAGAGGGGCCCGCGUCCGAUUAGCUAGUUGGUGAGGUAACGGCUCACCAAGGCAACGAUCGGUAGCCGGCCUGAGAGGGCGGACGGCCACACUGGGACUGAGACACGGCCCAGACUCCUACGGGAGGCAGCAGUAGGGAAUUGUUCGCAAUGGGCGCAAGCCUGACGACGCAACGCCGCGUGGAGGAUGAAGAUCUUCGGGUCGUAAACUCCUUUCGAUCGAGACGGAUGAUCUCCGGGUGAACAAUCCGGAGGAAUGACGGUACCGAGAGAAGAAGCCCCGGCUAACUCCGUGCCAGCAGCCGCGGUAAUACGGGGGGGGCAAGCGUUGUUCGGAAUUACUGGGCGUAAAGGGCUCGUAGGCGGCCAACUAAGUCGGACGUGAAAUCCCUCGGCUUAACCGGGGAACUG
rnacentral:rRNA from 1 species